rnacentral:rRNA from 1 species
AACGCUGGCGGCGUGCUUAACACAUGCAAGUCGAACGGUGAAGCAGAGCUUGCUCUGUGGAUCAGUGGCGAACGGGUGAGUAACACGUGAGCAAUCUGCCCCUGACUCUGGGAUAAGCGCUGGAAACGGCGUCUAAUACCGGAUACGAGCUGCGACCGCAUGGUCAGUAGCUGGAAAGAAUUUCGGUCAGGGAUGAGCUCGCGGCCUAUCAGCUUGUUGGUGAGGUAAUGGCUCACCAAGGCGUCGACGGGUAGCCGGCCUGAGAGGGUGACCGGCCACACUGGGACUGAGACACGGCCCAGACUCCUACGGGAGGCAGCAGUGGGGAAUAUUCCACAAUGGGCGAAAGCCUGAUGCAGCAACGCCGCGUGAGGGAUGACGGCCUUCGGGUUGUAAACCUCUUUUAGCAGGGAAGAAGCGAAAGUGACGGUACCUGCAGAAAAAGCGCCGGCUAACUACGUGCCAGCAGCCGCGGUAAUACGUAGGGCGCAAGCGUUAUCCGGAAUUAUUGGGCGUAAAGAGCUCGUAGGCGGUCUGUCGCGUCUGCUGUGAAAACCCGAGGCCCAACCUCGGGCCUGCAGUGGGUACGGGCAGACUAGAGUGCGGUAGGGGAGAUUGGAAUUCCUGGUGUAGCGGUGGAAUGCGCAGAUAUCAGGAGGAACACCGAUGGCGAAGGCAGAUCUCUGGGCCGUAACUGACGCUGAGGAGCGAAAGGGUGGGGAGCAAACAGGCUUAGAUACCCUGGUAGUCCACCCCGUAAACGUUGGGAACUAGUUGUGGGGUCCAUUCCACGGAUUCCGUGACGCAGCUAACGCAUUAAGUUCCCCGCCUGGGGAGUACGGCCGCAAGGCUAAAACUCAAAGGAAUUGACGGGGACCCGCACAAGCGGCGGAGCAUGCGGAUUAAUUCGAUGCAACGCGAAGAACCUUACCAAGGCUUGACAUAUAGAGGAAACGUCUGGAAACAGUCGCCCGGCAAGGUCUCUAUACAGGUGGUGCAUGGUUGUCGUCAGCUCGUGUCGUGAGAUGUUGGGUUAAGUCCCGCAACGAGCGCAACCCUCGUUCUAUGUUGCCAGCACGUAAUGGUGGGAACUCAUGGGAUACUGCCGGGGUCAACUCGGAGGAAGGUGGGGAUGACGUCAAAUCAUCAUGCCCCUUAUGUCUUGGGCUUCACGCAUGCUACAAUGGCCGGUACAAAGGGCUGCAAUACCGUGAGGUGGAGCGAAUCCCAAAAAGCCGGUCCCAGUUCGGAUUGAGGUCUGCAACUCGACCUCAUGAAGUCGGAGUCGCUAGUAAUCGCAGAUCAGCAACGCUGCGGUGAAUACGUUCCCGGGUCUUGUACACACCGCCCGUCAAGUCAUGAAAGUCGGUAACACCUGAAGCCGGUGGCCCAACCCUUGUGGAGGG